rnacentral:sRNA from 2 species
GCGGAGGAAAAGAAACCAACAGGGAUUGCCCUAGUAACGGCGAGUGAAGCGGCAACAGCUCAAAUUUGAAAUCUGGCGUCUUUGGCGUCCGAGUUGUAAUUUGCAGAGGGCGCUUUGGCAUUGGCAGCGGUCCAAGUUCCUUGGAACAGGACGUCACAGAGGGUGAGAAUCCCGUACGUGGUCGCUAGCCUUUACCGUGUAAAGCCCCUUCGACGAGUCGAGUUGUUUGGGAAUGCAGCUCUAAAUGGGAGGUAAAUUUCUUCUAAAGCUAAAUACUGGCCAGAGACCGAUAGCGCACAAGUAGAGUGAUCGAAAGAUGAAAAGCACUUUGGAAAGAGAGUUAAAAAGCACGUGAAAUUGUUGAAAGGGAAGCGCUUGCAGCCAGACUUGCCUGUAGUUGCUCAUCCGGGUUUCUACCCGGUGCACUCUUCUAUAGGCAGGCCAGCAUCAGUUUGGGCGGUUGGAUAAAGGUCUCUGUCAUGUACCUCUCUUCGGGGAGAACUUAUAGGGGAGACGACAUGCAACCAGCCUGGACUGAGGUCCGCGCAUCUGCUAGGAUGCUGGCGUAAUGGCUGUAAGCGGCCCGUCUUGAAACACGGACCAAGGAGUCUAACAUCUAUGCGAGUGUUUGGGUGUCAAGCCCGAGCGCGUAAUGAAAGUGAACGGAGGUGGGAACCUUUCGGGGUGCACCAUCGACCGAUCCUGAUGUCUUCGGAUGGAUUUGAGUAAGAGCAUAGCUGUUGGGACCCGAAAGAUGGUGAACUAUGCUUGAAUAGGGUGAAGCCAGAGGAAACUCUGGUGGAGGCUCGCAGCGGUUCUGACGUGCAAAUCGAUCGUCAA